CUAGUGUACUGUAGCCUAAAUACAUGGACCCAGGUCUAGUGUACUGUAGCCUAAAUACAUGGACACAGGUCUAGUGUACUGUAGCCUAAAUACAUGGACCCAGGUCUAGUGUACUGUAGCCUAAAUACAUGGACCCAGGUCUAGUGUACUGUAGCCUAAAUACAUGGACACAGGUCUAGUGUACUGUAGCCUAAAUACAUGGACCCAGGUCUAGUGUACUGUAGCCUAAAUACAUGGACCCAGGUCUAGUGUACUGUAGCCUAAAUACAUGGACACAGGUCUAGUGUACUGUAGCCUAAAUACAUGGACCCAGGUCUAGUGUACUGUAGCCUAAAUACAUGGACCCAGGUCUAGUGUACUGUAGCCUAAAUACAUGGACACAGGUCUAGUGUACUGUAGCCUAAAUACAUGGACCCAGGUCUAGUGUACUGUAGCCUAAAUACAUGGACCCAGGUCUAGUGUACUGUAGCCUAAAUACAUGGACACAGGUCUAGUGUACUGUAGCCUAAAUACAUGGACCCAGGUCUAGUGUACUGUAGCCUAAAUACAUGGACCCAGGUCUAGUGUACUGUAGCCUAAAUACAUGGACACAGGUCUAGUGUACUGUAGCCUAAAUACAUGGACCCAGGUCUAGUGUACUGUAGCCUAAAUACAUGGACCCAGGUCUAGUGUACUGUAGCCUAAAUACAUGGACCCAGGUCUAGUGUACUGUAGCCUAAAUACAUGGACCCAGGUCUAGUGUACUGUAGCCUAAAUACAUGGACCCAGGUCUAGUGUACUGUAGCCUAAAUACAUGGACACAGGUCUAGUGUACUGUAGCCUAAAUACAUGGACCCAGGUCUAGUGUACUGUAGCCUAAAUACAUGGACACAGGUCUAGUGUACUGUAGCCUAAAUACAUGGACCCAGGUCUAGUGUACUGUAGCCUAAAUACAUGGACACAGGUCUAGUGUACUGUAGCCUAAAUACAUGGACACAGGUCUAGUGUACUGUAGCCUAAAUACAUGGACACAGGUCUAGUGUACUGUAGCCUAAAUACAUGGACCCAGGUCUAGUGUACUGUAGCCUAAAUACAUGGACCCAGGUCUAGUGUACUGUAGCCUAAAUACAUGGACACAGAGCAUGGUGUGGGCAGCAGAGCAGAAGGGAUAGUAGCAAUACUAUGGAGGGUAAGUAGCUAGGAGGGGAGUGUUCAAGCCCUUUUUGGGGGGUGCUUUUCCCUGAAAUCAAAUGUACAAUAGCCUAAAUGAAACGUAACGAUAAAAAGCAAAGAGCAACAAAUAUGUUUCAAAGUAAUAAGAUAAAACACAGAGGAAAAAUAGGAACGGCCCCCUAGGAACGGUAUAAGGUGAUUCCCAUUGGUCCAACAUGGGUUUGAGGUGGACCGACAUUGGGUUUUUGGGCAAAAUCAACCUUUCUGUCCCACAUGAUGUCACAUAAUCAUGAUAAUAUCAUAGCUAGGUCUCGUCAUCAAAUAAAUAAAUACAUCAAAAUCAGGGGGGGAAAAAAUGGAGACGCACCAAAAAUAAACCAUUAAAAUGACAUGGCAACUGACAACAACUAAAAACCUGAUAUGUCCUUGUUUGUAGUUCGAUAGUUUAUGUUGGAGCUCCUAUCAGGGGAAUACUGGUUAAGGACAUUAUUGUAGUGUCUGCAAGUCCAUGAAAUCAUAUCCGAUCUAUCUAGUCUGGUGCUACCCGGCAAAACCUUAUCAAUUCAGUAUCACAACUGAGUAUUUUUUUUAUCUAUAGAGAAAACAAUAAGUGUGCCUUACCUCUUCGGAAAACGUUGCUCAUACUGUUCAAGUCCUUGCUG